ACCAUUUGCCAACUGUUCACAGCCACAGCAAUGGCAACCCAGACAAAACACCCACCACAGUGACUGUGCGCUCAGUGCUCCUCAACCGGAACUCUCCAGAUAUUGAAAGCAGACUUAAACGGAGACGAAAUCGCACACAGCAGGUACGCUUUAAAGAUUUGGAGGAUGAUGAUGAGUCUAAGGAUAAAAAUGAGAAGGCGAGAAGUAAGAGCCCAACAGAGGUUCCAAUCUGGCAGAAAGAGUUGACAAAUGGGCCCUCGCUGGUGGGAGCAGUCCGUGGGGACAUGGAAAAGACAAUUGGAGCAGUGACAGCAUUUUUGAAGAGAGCGCCACCGCACCCACUUACCCCUGGGCCUACCAGACGCUGCUGGGUCCCAACACAUCCAUGUUCGCUCACACUGCCGCUGCCAACUCAGCCAUGCAGGAGCACAGCCAUCCAAACCUCACCCAGUUUGCAGAAGCCUCCCUCGCUCUCUGCCAUGCAGACUCGCAGUCACAGCCUGGGUGGAGCCGGGGAUUACGGAGACUCCUCCGAUGAGCUGACUGCACAGGUCUAUGUUCCACCUUGUAGAUCACAGAAGAGCUCUGUCCAACAUUGUACCCCUGCUGAGCAAUCAAGGUGCCAGAAAACUGAGGACAAUCAAACUGCCUCUGCGGGUACAUCAACACAACUCCAGCCAUGUUCUGCUGUGCCACAAAAACAGUCUAGAAGGAGAGGUAGGAGGAAAUCUUUAAACAGAGCAGCAAGUGAUCCUGGGAAACCUGAGCCUCCUUGUACUUCUCCAACUAAAACUGUGCACAGAAGUCACCAACUGUCUAACCAACUCAAGAAGCUUCCAUCCAAAGUUGUGGCACACAGAACUUCAGAUAUCGUGCCUCCGCAGCGUUCCCCCACACCCAACACAGUUCAUAAUAUGCCAUGUAGUGUCUCUUCCACACAGACUGAAUCAAGCAGUGAUUCAAAAAUCCAAACUGUCCCAGAUAACACAACCUCUGAGGUAGACCCUGCAUCUUGUACAUCUCACACGGCACCACCUCCAUCAAUCACAUGUCCCAAAGAAACAUCACAUUGUUGCCCACCGCAGGCUGCUGCGGAGAACAUAAAUUUGACCCCCACUGUACCAGAGCCUUUGUGCACUACCACAGCACAAGUCAUAUCCACUGUAACCACACCCUCAACACAUGGGCAAUCAUGCAUGUCUCCUAUUGAGUCUACAGGGCAUUGUUGCACACCUGGUAUUCAGAAUAUGGCAAAUUGUAAGACUCCCUCAGUACCCGAGCCCCAAUGCAUUCCAGAUUCAUAUACAGAUCCCACAACUCCUGCUCAGUCCACGCCUUGUUUCCAGACGUUGGAGGAAACUAUUCCUUGCUCCAGCACAGCUGGCUCCAAGGCAGCGUCCUGUUCUCAAGGAGCACAUGCAGUUGCCUCUGUGUUCAGCUCCACACAGCCAUGCCAGAAGACUCCAACUGAACCCAUGGCAUAUAGUAACACUUCAAAUCAACCUGUGUACUCUGUGAUAU
ensembl:lncRNA